CCUACGGGAGGCAGCAGUGGGGAAUUUUGGACAAUGGGCGCAAGCCUGAUCCAGCCAUGCCGCGUGUGUGAAGAAGGCCUUCGGGUUGUAAAGCACUUUCGGACGGAACGAAAUCGCGUGGGCGAAUAUCCCGCGUGGAUGACGGUACCGUAAGAAGAAGCACCGACUAACUACGUGCCAGCAGCCGCGGUAAU
rnacentral:rRNA from 1 species